rnacentral:rRNA from 1 species
UAACGCGUGGGCAACCUGCCUCAUACACGGGGGAUAGCAUCGGGAAACUGGUGGGUUAAAACCGCAUAAGCGCACGAAGACGCAUGUAUUCGUGUGAAAAGGAGAAAUCUGGGUAUGAGAUGGAACCCGCGUCUGAUUAGCUAGUUGGAGUGGUAAAAGCACACCAAGGCGACGAUCAGUAGCCGGCCUGAGAGGGUGGACGGCCACAUUGGGACUGAGACACGGCCCAGACUCCUACGGAAGGCAGCAG